UCGCCGGCUCUUAAGCAGGAACGAGGCGUGGGGCUUCAAAAGCGCAUCGCCGUCUCCUCGGGUUCGUUAUAUGAUCGGGCGCCAGCCAUGGCAAUCCUCCGCGCCGCUACGGCGAUCUCCGUCGUCUCUACGAACGGCGAGCCCAUCGAUCUGGGCGCGAGAGAAGUUUAAACGUUUGAAGCCUUGCGCCUCCUCGCUCUCGCUGAUGGCUACAGAUCCACCGAACCGACGCUGACACCUCUCUUCAGAGCAAAGACCUUAACUUGAGUUUAAUUCUUCCUCCGAGAGGUGCAAAGAGGAUAUAAAAGGAACUACUGCUGGAAGCUCUAGAUUUUAUGUGAUGCAUAAGCUAUACUCUGCUGAAGGAAUUUGAGACUCUUGGUGGUGGUACAUAACAGACUUUCUGGAACUGGAUCGCUUGCCUGCUGAUCAAGGUCCGUGCUUUGCUAACGUCACAGAAGUACCCAAGAAAAGGCAAAGCUGGCUCCACUGAACCUUUCAAAGUGCAAAAAGGAGCAAUGAUAUGGAUCAAUUCCCUUCGAGGAGACACCGACUGACAAACCUGUAUAGUGGAUCUCGUCUCUUCAAAAGCCAUAACUGCUGUCCAAGGACUGCUGAUUCAUCAGCUACACCUCAGAUCCCACCAGCAAUAUGAUGACAUAAGCCUUCCAAGUUAGAGAAAUCAUUAUACCUAUUACCCUCUGACCCGAAAACUAUCAAGCGUACAUGCUGAGGACAUUAAAUCAUGGCGUCCAUACCCUACAAAAAAAUAAUAAUGGAGGCCGCAAGGAUCAUUUAUUAGAAUGCAUUCCAACGUUAAAUGGA